rnacentral:lncRNA from 1 species
CCAGCUGGUGAGCGAGUGGCUCCCUUUAUGGAGGAGGAGUGAAAACUCAGUGAAAACCGGUAAAUCUUGCAGAAGUCAGGUUUACGGUUGGGCUCCUCGGUCAAAUAGUUGGAGGUGUCAUCUGGGUAAAAGCAUGCAGCGAUCAAACGGAUACAGUUCAGGACAGUUGCCGCAAGCAUAAGGAACCCUGUGUGGUUGGGACAAGAAAUACAAAGUCAAGUGUAAUGUAAGUGUUACGUAACUGUUAUUCAUCAGAUUAUACAAAAUUGUCUACAAGAUUUUUCUGGUAUUCAAUUAUGACUGGCCUACAGCGUUAGCUUAGCACUGUUCCAAUUACAGUAUAUGUUAUGUGACUAUAAAAUCAUGUUAUAAUUGGCCAGCAUCUGCCUACAUUAAAAUUGAUCUGUUACAGAAUGUGAGUGUGAGUGGUUGGUAUUACUCCAGUAUGUGUUCAUUCCAUAGAGCUGUACUAGAGAGCUCAUCUCCUAUCUUUGCAAUGUGCAAAGUCUGAACAGACAAGGUUAGUGAUUUACUGCCACCUGAUUAUACAUUUACAUUUUAGUAAUUUAGCAGAUGCUCUUAUCUGGAGCGAUUUAGGGAAUGUUUGCUCAGGAGUAUAAUUCCUGCUGACCUGGAUGGAAUUCUGUGAUCUUCCUUAACCCAUAGCAAGUUCCACUGAGUUGAAAGUGGUGAAUGGUGAAAGCCCUCAAAGGCACUGCAUAUGAUUAAACAGGCUUUGGGCUAAGUGCGCCCUCUAUACAACUCUAUGUUCUUACCACAAUAUACUGUGUUAGGAGCAAGGUCAUGGACACGAUAGCUUCUGGUGAACAUGGCUCCCAGGCCCACAAUCAACACAGGGUAGACAGUAAACGUGUAGCGGAUGUACUUGGAGAAUAUGAAGCUCUCAAAGACAAACCUGUUAGGAAAUAGCAUUGUUUUCAAAACUGAAUUAAACCCCAGCUUCCAAGUAUAGUGUACCGAUUUAGUCAGUACGGUGUCCAUAUUAGGACAGCCUCCGUCUCAGCAGGAGAGACUAUCCUAAUAGGGACACCACAAUGAUAAUUUUUCCAUUCAAUCAAUGAUUACGAAUUAUAUGUAUGGGCCAAUUAUUAUUUCAUUGUCAGUUAUUACCAGAUGAGCAUCCCCAGGAGAAGUACAGUGAGCACCAUUGAGCUGACCAGAGGAUCAGGUAGCCCAGCCUGGUACCUCAGCACAACUCCCAGACUGACCAGGGCCUCCAGGAGAGUCCACCAGCCAAACACAGCCAGUCCGUUCUGGGUCUGUCCCACACAACACCAACACAUCAAUGCACAGUUAGACCAGAGGGACCACGAUAAAAGACAUAUGAAACAGACAUAUUAAAACAAGACGUAGUAUUUAUUGGUAAAGGAUCUGUUUUUAGAAUAUGUAUUGGUGUGUUUAGAUUUGUGAUGUGGCCCUGGUUGGCCUUGUUUUUAGUGGAGGCUCUAAUGCCUUGUUUUUAGUGGAGGCUCUAAUGCCUUGUUUUUAGUGGAGGCUCUAAUGCCUUGUUUUUAGUGGAGGCUCUAAUGCCUUGUUUUUAGUGGAGGCUCUAAUGCCUUGUUUUUAGUGGAGGCUCUAAUGCCUUGUGAAUAUGGGUUAGGGGGCCGGAGGUGCGCUGAGGAGGGGCAUUGGGUGACCAUAAUGGCUGGGCUCUCCGCUGCCUUCCUGGUGCACGGCUUAGCGGAUGGAUGCGAAUGUGUGAGGUUUUGUGAAUGGUGAACUUCCCUUAAGGGAAGUCGGAGGUGAUACCUAUGGUGUAUUCAAGACAACUGGGAACUCUGAAAAAUACGAGGUCAAAUCAUGACGUCAGUGAUCUUCAGGUCGGAAAGGCUGAGCUCUCGUGAGUCGGAGCUCUCGAGUUGGAAAUCCAAGUUGAAUGACCGCUCAAAACUAUUUUUUCCGAGUUGUUUUGAAUGCGGCAUAAGAGGGAAUCCUGGCACCGAGCGUCAUGGCUGCCUAAGUUGUUGCGCGUAGAGAGGCCAAGUUCAGUCUUUCUGCCAUGCGGUUAUGCUGUAUUGUGUAAGCAGUCCCGUGAAACCAACCACCUCUGUAUCUGUGUUAAUGCCCAGUUGCCACACCCAUAGCAGUAUAGGGUGAAAAGAACCCUGGCCUGUGCUGCGCCGUGAGUUUGUACCCAGUGAAUGUGUGUGCAUAUGUGGCUGAUGAGGAGCUCCAGGUAAGUGGUUGAUGUUUGCAGCUCAUCUAUAUUGCACCAAGCAUAUUAAGGUAUUCUAAAAUGUUAAGAGAAAUAUAAAUUAGGCCUGUGUAUUUAUUUUUAAUGUGACAGAUAUAAUUUAAUGUGAUGUUCGUGCGGUAUGUUUGUCCAAGUUCAUGUGUUGCAGAAUGGUGUUUUGGCGCAUAAUGACGGUCCCCUUGGCGAACAUACUGGCAAUGGAGUGAUGAUGAGGCGCUCUGAAACGUUGAAGAAAAGAUGACUCUGUCCCAUUAUACGACUGCAUGGUCCUCGAGUAUUUAUUUUAUUUAAGUAUUGGAUUGCAGUAUUUUGCUUUUCAAAGUGUGCUUUUUCAUUAGGCCUAUUUGGUCAAUGCAUGUAUUCUUCAUUUAGAUGUGUUUUUGCAUUUUUUCUUGACCUUUAUUUUUGAUGUGCCUUGUCUUAUUUUUUGCUUUUUUGUCUUGAAAUGUGAGGACACAUUUAAAAACUUUGGGGGGGGGGGGGGGGUAAACAUGUAACAUGCAUGAGCUCUUGAAUGCAGCCUCAUAGACUGGUAGAACAGGUGUUCCUUAUUGUUUAUUAACUACGUGGCCUCUAGUAUAAAUGAUUGGCUAUCAGUUCAAUCAUGGGAUACCCUUGCCUUGUGUUGAUUGGCGUGCACUGGAAGGAUGGGAGUGGUGGUGUUUUUUUAAUUCAAAUUAAGUAAAAUUAUUGUUAUGGCAAUAUCCUUUUCCAUAUUCACAAAAAGCACAUUUCUCUCAAAUUUGGUGCGCAUAUUUGAUUAAAUCCCUGCUGGUGAGCAUUUCUCCUUUGCCAAGAUAAUCCAAUUGAUAAAAUCAUGUUUAAAUUGGAGAAAAAAUAUUUUAAAAAUGUAUAAUCUUUGUAAAUGAUAUCAUAAAUAGGACUGGUGGAGUUGUCACACACGCAGCUAACAUACACAUUCUGAAAUGUCUGCGCUACUCAAAAUUAUAACCAACUAAUUGCAGCAUUACCGCAAAAAUUGAAGAGGCAAGUGGAAGGGGGAGAAAGUAAGGGACUUUUCUGUCGGCCCUGCAUUAAAGAUCAAUAUUGGUUAAACAGAAUUCGGAUAAAUAAGAAAGUAUAUCUGUUUAAUUUAAGUACCAACAAAUUGACAGCUGUGCCAUAUAGAUUGCAAAAUAGUUGGGAAGAGAUUUUUGGUUUAUGGACUGAUACACAAAACAACGCUGGAUUCAAAACUUUGAGUUUUUCAAUUUCAAUUAAUAUACAACAUUUUUGGCAUCAAUACAAUGUUAAAUAUAUGGGGGAUACAACUAUUCCAGCACUACAGAUUUUUCUGUGAAGAGACUGUAACGCCCUGGCCAUAGAGAGGGGUUUUUUGUUCUUUAUUUUGGUUAGGCCAGGGUGUUACAUUGGGUGGGCGUUCUAUGUUCUGUUUCUAUGUGUUUGUAUUUCUUUGUUUUGGGCCGUGUGUGGCUCCCAAAUCAGGCACAGCUGAAGUUCGUUGCUGUUGAUUGGGAGUCACACAUAAGUGCAUGUUUUUCCGUUGGGGUUUUGUGGGUAAUUGUUUCUGUGUAGUGUGUUUCACCUGACAGGACUGUGUUGGCUGUCAGUUCCUUGUUUUGUUUGAAUAGUGUUACGGCAAUAAUUAAAUAUGUUGAACACUAACUCUGCUGCGUUUUGGUCCACUCUCUCUAAAUGCAGUCGAGACAGAAUCAUUAGAUAGUUUGUUUUGGUAUUGUCCAUAUGUAGCUUGUUUUUGGUCGCAGGUUCAGGAAUGGCUGAAGAAUUGCAACAUUUACCUGGAGCUAACUCUGCAAAUAGCACUGCUGGGUGAUUUAAAAAGUCAUAGUCAAUCGAUCAAUAAUAUAAUAAUACUCUUAGAAAAAAUGUUAUCUUUCAUUUACAAUCUGUAGAAACUAUGUGAAUAGAAAGGUUCAGAACUUUUGUGAAACAUCAGAGCACAGUUGAAAAAUAUAUGGCAAACAGAAAUCAAAACUGGAUGGUGUUCAGAGAUAGAUGGGAGGGUUUGAGUGGAGCUGAAGGGUGGGACUCAAAAUAAGAAGAGAACUAAUGUAAAAUAUACUGUGUCUGUAAAAUGUAUUUUCUGUCUGUUCAGAAUGUUUGUGAAAUAGCACAGUUGAAAAAUAUGGCAAAUAGAAAUCAACACUGGAUGGUCUUCAGAAAUAGAUGGCAGGGGUUGAGGGUAGAUGAAGGAUAGGACUAAAAACAAAUCAAAGAUAACUACUGUAUAUACUGUGUCUGUAAAAUGUACAGUACCAGUCAAAAGUUUGGACACACCUUCUCAUUUAAGGGUUUUUCUUUAUUUGUUUUACUAUUUUCUACAUUGUAGAAUAAUAAUGAAGACAUCAACUAUGAAAUAACACAUAUGGAAUCAUGUAGCAACCAAAAAAGUUUUAAACAAAUCAAAAUAUGUUUAUAUUUUAGAUUCUUUAAAGUAGUCUCCUUUUGUCUUGACAGCUUUGCACACUCUUGGCAUUCUCUCAGACUGCUUCAUGAGGUAGUCACCUGGAAUGCAUUUCAAUUAACAGGUGUGCCUUGUUAAAAGUACAUUUGUGGAGUUUCUUUCCUUCUUAAUGCAUUUGAGUCAGUCAGUUGUGUUGUGACAAUGUAGGGAUGGUAUACAGAAGAUAGCCCUAUUUGGUAAAAGAUCAAGUCCAUAUUACGGCAAGAACAGAUGAAAUUAACAAAGGGAAAGGACAGUCCAUCAUGAAGGUCAGUCAAUCCGGAAAAUGUCAAGAACUUUGAAAGUUUCUUCAAGUGCAGUUGCAAAAACCAUCAAGUGCUAUGAUGAAACUGGCUCUCAUGAGGACCACCACAGGAAAGGAAGACCCAGAGUUACCUCUGCUGCAGAAGAUAAGUUCCUUAGUUACCAGCCUCAGAAUUGCAGCCCAAAUAAAUGCUUCACAGAGUAACAGACACAUUUCAACAUCAACUGUACAGAGGAGACUGCGUGAAUCAGGCCGAAUUGCUGCAAAGAAACCACUACCAAAGGACAUCAAUAAUAAGAAGAGACUUGCUUGGGCCAAGAAACACAAGCAACGGACAUUAGACCAGUGGAAAUCUGUCCUUUGCACUGAUGAGUCCAAAUGUGAGAUUUUUGGCUCCAACUGCCAUGUCUUUGUGAGACGCAGAGUAGGUAAACGGAUGAUCUCCGCAUGUGUUGUUCCCACCGUGAAGUAUGGAGGAGGAGGUGUGAUGGUGCUUUGCUGGUGACACUGUCAGUGAUUUAUUUAGAAUUCAAGGCACACAACCAGAAUGGCUACCACAGCAAUCUGCGGCGAUACGUCAUACCAUCUGUCUUGUGCUUAGUGGAACUGUAAUUUGCUUUUCAACAGGACAAUGACCCAACACACCUCCAGGCUUUGUAAGGGCUAUUUAACCAAGAAGGAGAGUGAUGGAGUGCUACAUCAUGUAACGAUCUGCGCUGAGAGUCGGGAAGCAAGUUCAGGGAGUGUUUUAAUAAAUAAAUGUAACAUAAUACAACACAUAGACAAGAAACAGAAACAAUGAUGCCUGGGGAAGGAACCAAAGGGAGUGACAUAUAUAGGGAAGGUAAUCAGGGAAGUGAUCGAGUUCAGGUGAGUGUCAUAAUGCGCUGAUGCGCGUAACGAUUGUGACAGGUGUGCGCCAUAACGAGCAGCCUGGUGACCUAGAGGCCGGAGAGGGAGCACAUGUGACA